rnacentral:rRNA from 1 species
UACGAAGGGGGCUAGCGUUGCUCGGAAUCACUGGGCGUAAAGCGCACGUAGGCGGCUUUUUAAGUCAGGGGUGAAAUCCUGGAGCUCAACUCCAGAACUGCCUUUGAUACUGAGAAGCUUGAGUCCGGGAGAGGUGAGUGGAACUGCGAGUGUAGAGGUGAAAUUCGUAGAUAUUCGCAAGAACACCAGUGGCGAAGGCGGCUCACUGGCCCGGUAUGACGCUGAGGUGCGAAAGCGUGGGAGCAAACAGGAUAGAAA